UCCCGGGAACGUAUUCACCGCGGCAUUCUGAUCCGCGAUUACUAGCAAUUCCAACUUCAUGCAGGCGAGUUGCAGCCUGCAAUCUGAACUGGGACGCGUUUUUGGGAUUUGCUCUACCUCGCGGUUUUGCUCCCCUCUGUUUGCGCCAUUGUAGUACGUGUGUGGCCCAGGGCGUAAGGGGCAUGAUGAUUUGACGUCAUCCCCACCUUCCUCCGUUUUGUCAACGGCAGUCCUGUUAGAGUGCUCUUGCGUAGCAACUAACAGUAAGGGUUGCGCUCGUUGCGGGACUUAACCCAACAUCUCACGACACGAGCUGAC
rnacentral:rRNA from 1 species